rnacentral:rRNA from 1 species
CUUACACAUGCAAGUCGAGCGAUGAAACACCUUCGGGUGUGAAUUAGCGGCGAACGGCUGAGGAACACGUGAAGAAUCUGCCUUCAACUCUGGGAUAACUCCGGGAAACCGGGGCUAAUACCGGAUAUGAGCCUUGAUCGCAUGAUCGGGGCUGGAAAGUUUUUCGGUUGAAGAUGACUUCGCGGCCUAUCAGCUUGUUGGUGAGGUAAUGGCUCACCAAGGCGACGACGGGUAGCCGGCCUGAGAGGGCGACCGGCCACACUGGGACUGAGACACGGCCCAGACUCCUACGGGAGGCAGCAGUGGGGAAUAUUGGGCAAUGGAGGAAACUCUGACCCAGCGACGCCGCGUGAGGGAUGAAGGCCUUCGGGUUGUAAACCUCUUUCAGUAGGGAAGAAGCGAAAGCGACGGUACCUACAGAAGAAGCACCGGCUAACUAUGUGCCAGCAGCCGCGGUAAUACAUAGGGUGCAAGCGUUGUCCGGAAUUAUUGGGCGUAAAGAGCUCGUAGGUGGUUCGAUACGUCGGAUGUGAAAAUCAGGGGCUCAACCCCUGACCUGCAUCCGAUACGGUCGAGCUAGAGUUUGGUAGGGGAGACUGGAAUUCCUGGUGUAGCGGUGGAAUGCGCAGAUAUCAGGAGGAACACCGAUGGCGAAGGCAGGUCUCUGGGCCAAUACUGACACUGAGGAGCGAAAGCGUGGGGAGCGAACAGGAUUAGAUACCCUGGUAGUCCACGCCGUAAACGGUGGGCGCUAGUUGUGCGAACCUUCCACGGUUUGUGCGACGCAGCUAACGCAUUAAGCGCCCCGCCUGGGGAGUACGAUCGCAAGAUUAAAACUCAAAGGAAUUGACGGGGCCUCGCACAAGCAGCGGAGCAUGCGGCUUAAUUCGACGCAACGCGAAGAACCUUACUCAGGCUUGACAUAUACAGGAAUACGGCAGAGAUGUCAUAGCCGCAAGGUCUGUAUA